rnacentral:lncRNA from 1 species
AUGGCAGAACGAGGAGUCUAGCUGAAGAGACGCCUUCACGUUCAUGAAGCUGCCGGCCGCUUGUCCUGCUUUGGGACCUCUCUGUUAAAAAAAUGAUCUGCAAUAUCUGUAAUCAGAAUAAAGCAGUUUCCAGUACCUUCACCUUCCACCUGGCCAGAAAAUCAAACACAGGAAUUUAAGUUAUUUAAUCAUCCAGCUGACCCA